GAUGAACGCUAGCGGCAGGCCUAAUACAUGCAAGUCGAACGGUGUAGCAAUACACAGUGGCGCACGGGUGCGUAACACGUAUGCAACCUACCUUACAUUGGGGGAUAGCCUUUCGAAAGGGAGAUUAAUACCGCAUAAGACAGUAACUUGGCAUCAAGUAGCUGUUAAAGAUUUAUCGAUGUAAGCUGGGCAUGCGUCCAAUUAGUUAGUUGGCGAGGUAAUGGCUCACCAAGACGAUGAUUGGUAGGGGAACUGAGAGGUCAAUCCCCCCACACUGGCACUGAGAUACGGGCCAGACUCCUACGGGAGGCAGCAGUAGGGAAUAUUGGGCAAUGGACGCAAGUCUGACCCAGCCAUGCCGCGUGCAGGAAGAAGGCGUUAUGCGUUGUAAACUGCUUUUAUAUAGGAAGAAACGACCCUUGCGAGGGGCAUUGACGGUACUAUAUGAAUAAGCACCGGCUAACUCCGUG
rnacentral:rRNA from 1 species